rnacentral:rRNA from 1 species
UACGUAGGGUGCGAGCGUUAAUCGGAAUUACUGGGCGUAAAGCGUGCGCAGGCGGUUUUGUAAGCCAGAUGUGAAAUCCCCGGGCUCAACCUGGGAAUGGCAUUUGGGACUGCAAGGCUGGAGUUUGGCAGAGGAGACUGGAAUUCCCAGUGUAGCGGUGAAAUGCGUAGAUAUUGGGAAGAACACCUGAGGCGAAGGCGGGUUGCUGGGCCGACACUGACGCUGAGGCGCGAAAGCCAGGGGAGCAAACGGG